UCGGCCCUUGGACUUCCUCGCGCCUUCCCCCACACCCCGGAACCGGAAGCCCAACUGGCAACCAAAGCCCCUCCUCCGCCUCCUCUCUCGAGACUCGAGUCGCGCGCGGGCGCCGCCAAACGCCAAUGGAGGCUCCCCUGACCAGCCACGUGACCACCGCCUUCUCCGACUGCGACAGCGCGCCCAUGGAGAUGGAGGACGACGCGGCGGCGGCGGCGGCGGACGCGGCCGACGUGGAGGCGCUCCGCCGCCUCUCCGACAACCUGGCCGCCGCCUUCCGCUCGCCGGACCGCUUCGCCUUCCUCACCGACGCGCGCCUCGUCGCGUGCCCGGGCGCCCCCGAGCUGCGCGUGCACCGCUGCGUGCUCUCCGCGCGGAGCCCCUUCCUGCGCGCCUUCUUCGCGCGCCGCGCCGCCGCGGAGGGCGGCGUCGGCGACCGGGUGGAGCUCCGGGAGCUGCUGGGUGACGAGGUGGAGGUCGGCCAUGAGGCGCUGGUUCUGGUGCUCGAGUACCUGUACAGCGGCCGCGUCCGCGAGCCCCCCAAGUCGGCCUUCUUCUGCGUCGACGAGGACGGCUGCGCGCACGUCGGGUGCCGCCCAGCCGUCUCCUUCAUGGCGCAAGUCCUCUUCGCCGCCUCCGUCUUCCAGGUCGCUGAGCUCGCCAACCUCUUCCAGCGGCAUCUCCUUGAUGUCCUUGAUAAGGUUGAAGUGGAUAACCUUCCAUUGAUCUUAUCUGUUGCAAGCUUAUGUAGUAAAUCUUGCAUGAAACUGCUUGAGAGAUGCCUAGAGAUUGUAGUUCAGUCAAAUCUUGACAUGAUUACUCUUGAGAAAACUGUGCCUCAAGAUGUUAUGAAGCAAAUUAUUGAUUCACGGCUGAGUCUUGGAUUAGUUUCACCGGAAGACAAUGGCUUUCCUAACAAACAUGUAAGGAGGAUACACAGAGCUCUUGAUUCUGAUGAUGUGGAGCUAGUGAGGAUGUUGCUCAAGGAAGGGCAGACUAAUCUUGAUGAUGCAUUUGCAUUGCACUAUGCUGUAGAACAUUGUGACUCAAAAAUUACGACAGAACUUCUGGACAUCGCACUUGCAGAUGUUAAUCAUAGAAACCCAAGAGGUUAUACUGUUCUUCACAUCGCUGCUAGGCGAAGAGAUCCUAAAAUCGUUGUCUCUCUUUUAACCAAAGGGGCUCGGCCUUCGGAUGUUACAUCUGAUGGAAGAAAAGCAGUUCAGAUCUCAAAGAGACUCACAAAACAUGGUGAUUACUUUGGGGUUACUGAAGAAGGGAAGCCGUCUCCGAAAGAUAGGCUAUGUAUUGAGAUACUGGAGCAAGCUGAAAGAAGGGAUCCACAACUUGGAGAAGCAUCGGUUUCUCUUGCAAUGGCUGGUGAUUGUCUACGUGGAAAAUUAUUGUACCUCGAAAACCGAGUUGCCUUGGCGAGGAUAUUGUUUCCUAUUGAGGCAAGAGUGGCAAUGGACAUUGCUCAAGUGGAUGGAACUUUGGAAUUCACCCUUGGUUCUAGUGCAAAUCAACUUCCAGAGAUACCACGGGCAACCGUUGAUCUAAAUGAAACUCCUUUUAAAAUGAAGGAUGAACACUUGGCUCGGAUGACAGCCCUCUCCAAAACAGUUGAACUCGGUAAACGCUUCUUUCCGCGCUGUUCAAAAGUGCUGGACACGAUCAUGGAUGAUGAAACUGAGGCUACCGAGUUGGCUUCCCUCGGACGGGAUAAUACAUCCACAGAGAGGAAGAGGAGAUUCCAUGACCUGCAAGACGUGCUUCAGAAGGCAUUCAGCGAGGACAAGGAGGAGUUUGCCCGGUCGGCCCUUUCGUCUUCCUCAUCAUCGGCGACGUCGAUCGGAGGAGUCCGCCCUAGGAGAUGAGCACCUUGCCCCUCCUCAUUCUUGCUGUAUUGUUGCCGCCCUAUUGGUCGCAUAGUAAUGCUCAUUUUUGCUUGUACAGUAACAGUAGUCCGUAGUCUCCUUGGCAGCUUUCCUUUAGUGGAGUAAUGCUCGAGCAGUUGUUGGCCUGAGGUGAACACUAGUACUACUGUAGUAUUAAUCUCUGAAGCAUCUUGGUCUGAGAAAAAA